rnacentral:lncRNA from 1 species
GGCAAGACACUGAGGAUUUUCUUCUUAUUUGGUUGAUGCUAUAAUGCCUGACAUUUCUUCAUCUCUGUGUUCUACCAGACAGGAUGAAGGUCAUGGUCAUUAGAGCCUGCCUUGAGGAAGGAAAGGUAUUUGCUGCUUAUUCUUGUCAAUAUGUAGACUAUUUUCCAGGAAGAUAUUGCAGGACAAAUUCUUUGAUGUUUAGAUAUUCAAAGUUAAGAUGA